GAAGCCUUCUGGACCUAGGAACUCCGCUGAUCGAGAGGAUAGGCCUAUCCGAAUUCACAGAGUCAUCGCAGCCGAGGGAGUAACGCAAAGACUCGCAUAGAUCACCAUGGAGCUACCCGACCAUGAGUCGCAUCUGGAGGAGAGUGUCACAGCGGCUGAGGAAAACAGCUCAACAAUCUGAAGAUGGCUCCAAAGAAGUCCAGCCGUGUGAUGCUUCCUUGUCUUCUCUAACUGCCCCUAUUAUUGGCUGUUCCCACCCGUGCAGCGCUUGUUUUUCAAUAGGAAUUCCAGGUUAGAGAGACACAAACUAAGGACUCACACACCAUAGUCCAAAACAUUGGCACGGCGCGCUGUCCUCCUAAAGGUUGCCAGGAGACUGUUGUUAUUAAGAUUUCUCCCAAAACUAUAUCUAGCACCUAUCGGCCUUAUGCCUGCUUUCCCUUUGAUAAUAAAGACAGGAACGGAUGCCGUACUGAUGUUUCCACUUA